ensembl:miRNA Mir21b microRNA 21b
UUUGAGGAUACUCUCACAUAUGGAGAGUUUAUCAGACUGAUAUUUCCAUGAGACAAGUAUGAGAAAAUCCUUCUGUACUAUCUUUCUGGCUUUUGUGUAUCUUACAAU